AUUGAACGCUGGCGGCAGGCCUAACACAUGCAAGUCGAGCGGAUGAAGGGAGCUUGCUCCUGGAUUCAGCUGCGGACGGGUGAGUAAUGCCUAGGAAUCUGCCUGGUAGUGGGGGAUAACGUCCGGAAACGGGCGCUAAUACCCCAUACGUCCUGAGGGAGAAAGUGGGGGAUCUUCGGACCUCACGCUCUCAGAUGAGCCUAGGUCGGAUUAGCUAGUUGGUGGGGUAAAGGCCUACCAAGGCGACGAUCCGUAACUGGUCUGAGAGGAUGAUCAGUCACACUGGAACUGAGACACGGUCCAGACUCCUACGGGAGGCAGCAGUGGGGAAUAUUGGACAAUGGGCGAAAGCCUGAUCCAGCCAUGCCGCGUGUGUGAAGAAGGUCUUCGGAUUGUAAAGCACUUUAAGUUGGGAAGAAAGGCAGUAAGUUAAUACCUUGCUGUUUUGACGUUACCAACAGAAUAAGCACCGGCUAACUUCGUG
rnacentral:rRNA from 1 species